rnacentral:lncRNA from 1 species
CAUCAAACUACUUUUUCUAUGUAUAACCCUUUUUUCACGAAAUAUUGGUUCAAUUUCUAAUUCAUUUGCAAUCUCUUUAGCAUCUAACAUGGUCGAUUCAAAACCAGAUUUUUUUAUAACUUUUGAAAAAUGAAAUGAGGCCUUUUAAAUGGUCUAUAACAACAUCAAUAUGCAUGUUUUCUGCUUGCAAAUGUUUGCUUACUCUGUUAACAUUAUUCAAUACUUCAUACCAAAUAAUCAUCCCACGUAAGAAUUCAAAAUUGUCAAUUUCAUACGUUGCCAAACACUCCGCUUCACUUUUUGUCUUAGGAUCAUCAACACUUGCUAAUUGAAGUAACGUUUUUUUUUUAUCUGCGGAGCUUGAAAACUUAUCGCUUUAACACUUUCAAUAUGACUUUCCCAACGAGUUUGUGACGAGGGCUUAAGGGUAAGACUAGUUACAUUCUCUUUGAAAAUUUUCCAUUGUUUAGUAGAUGAAGAAAAUAAAGUGUAUAUAAGUUGCACCGCCCCAAAGAAAGAUUUAGCUUUUGAACAAUAAGUGGCCAUAUCACAAAGUGCAAGAUUAAG